rnacentral:rRNA from 1 species
GACGUAGGUGGCGAACGUUAUCCGGAAUCACUGGGUUUAAAGGGUGCGUAGGCGGUCUGAUAAGUCAGUUGUGAAAUUCCUCGGCUUAACCGAGUGGACUGCGAUUGAUACUGUCAGACUUGAAUCAGGUUGAGGUAGGCGGAAUGUGACAUGUAGCGGUGAAAUGCUUAGAUAUGUCAUAGAACACCGAUUGCGAAGGCAGCUUGCUGGGCUUAGAUUGACGCUGAGGCACGAAAGCGUGGGGAGCAAACAGG